UUUAUUAUCCUGCUCUGGAAAUAAAACAAGUUCAAGAAAAGAUUGGAAAGAAGGCGGGAAACUACGUAGACCGCAACAUAACAUUUUACUCUUUAAGAAAGCGAAUUCAUGUCGCCUAAAAACAACGCCGUUAAGGAAACAAUGUACCUUUGAAAGACUGCUGGACUCCGUCGUUUUGUUGGCAAGUUAAAACUACGGUUUGGAGUACAUCCCGUGGCUAAAUUGCCCAACUUUGAGAGGAGUCUUGUUCACAGAAGACCGUGACCUGGAUAGUUUGACACACAAACUGUAUCCCUCAGUUUAACUUAAGGACAAGGUCAGAUUGGAGUGCGCCAAAACGGGAUUGAAGAGUUCCAAUCCUUGCCACGAUUUUUCAGUCAAGUCUACGACAGCAAGAAAGACGACAGUAGCGAUGAUAUCGGCGAACGAAAGUCGGUUAAUAGGCGUUAAGAGCAAUGAAAAUACCAGAGUCGUGAAAAGUACGCGCAUGAAUUGCACCCCAUACUGCUCAAUGUCAACACUUGGAGAUGAGCGCCUCAGGUUAAC